CUGGGCAAGGCAUUUACCCUCAGUUUCUUCCCCCAG
rnacentral:sRNA from 1 species